rnacentral:rRNA from 1 species
GACGAACGCUGGCGGCGUGCUUAACACAUGCAAGUCGAACGAUGAAGCUGGAGCUUGCUCUGGCGGAUUAGUGGCGAACGGGUGAGUAACACGUGAGAAAUCUGCCCUUGACUCUGGGAUAACUGCGGGAAACUGUAGCUAAUACCGGAUACUUUCCCUGGUGGGCAUCCACUGGGGAAGAAAGAAUUUCGGUCAAGGAUGAUCUCGCGGCCUAUCAGCUUGUUGGUGAGGUAAUGGCUCACCAAGGCGACGACGGGUAGCCGGCCUGAGAGGGAGACCGGCCACACUGGGACUGAGACACGGCCCAGACUCCUACGGAGGCAGCAGUGGGGAAUAUUGCACAAUGGGCGCAAGCCUGAUGCAGCAACGCCGCGUGAGGGAUGAAGGCCUUCGGGUUGUAAACCUCUUUUAGCAGGGAAGAAGCGAAAGUGACGGUACCUGCAGAAAAAGCACCGGCUAACUACGUGCCAGCAGCCGCGGUAA